GACUGUUUCUGGGUCCUAAUGCUCUCGAGCGACAGGGCCCGACAUAUUAACUUUAUACUAAUGUCUGAAUAAAUUUAAAUAAAAACAACUUUUGACAACGGAUCUCUUGGCUCUCGCAUCGAUGAAGAACGCAGCGAAAUGCGAUAAGUAAUGUGAAUUGCAGAAUUCAGUGAAUCAUCGAAUCUUUGAACGCAUCUUGCGCUCCUUGGCAUUCCGAGGAGCAUGCCUGUUUGAGUGUCAUGAAGUUCUCAACCACAUUGAUUUGCUUCUGAUGUGGAUUGGAUAUGGGGAUUUUUGCAGGCCUUUUUAAAAGAGGUCUGCUUUCCUGAAAUAUAUUAGUGGUAUCUGAGCAGAGACUUACUACGGGUGUGAUAAAUCAUCUAUGCCUAUUUGUAGAAUGCUGCAACAGGACUGCUUCAAAAAACUCAUUUGUUGACCAGUUUGACCUCAAAUCAGGUAGGACUACCCGCUGAACUUAAGCAUAUCAAUAAGCGGGAG
rnacentral:rRNA from 1 species